GCGAAUAUAGUUCAGUUGGUUAGAGCAUUAAAUUGUGAUUUUAAAAGUCGUGAGUUCAAAUCUCACUAUUCGCC
rnacentral:tRNA from 1 species